rnacentral:lncRNA from 1 species
AUGUUAAAAACUCAGCUCACAGAUUUGGUUGGGGCAUUCAUUCAGACACACACCUCUUUCAAACCAGUGGCCGGAACUGGUUGGGGUAUUCAUUCAUACACACACCUCUUUCAAACCAGUGGCUGGAACUGGUUGGGGUAUUCAUUCAUACACACACCUCUUUCAAACCAGGGGACAGAACUGGUUGGGGUAUUCAUUCAGACACACACCUCUUUCAAACCAGUGGACAGAACUGGUUGGGGUUUUCAUUCAUACACACACCUCUUUCAAACCAGUGGACAGAACUGGUUGGGGUAUUCAUUCAUACACACACCUCUUUCAAACCAGUGGACAGAACUGGUUGGGGUAUUCAUUCAUACACACACCUCUUUCAAACCAGUGGACAGAACUGGUUGGGGUUUUCAUUCAUACACACACCUCUUUCAAACCAGUGGACAGAACUGGUUGGGGUAUUCAUUCAUACACACACCUCUUUCAAACCAGGGGACAGAACUGGUUGGGGUAUUCAUUCAGACACACACCUCUUUCAAACCAGUGGACAGAACUGGUUGGGGUUUUCAUUCAUACACACACCUCUUUCAAACCAGUGGACAGAACUGGUUGGGGUAUUCAUUCAUACACACACCUCUUUCAAACCAGUGGACAGAACUGGUUGGGGUAUUCAUUCAUACACACACCUCUUUCAAACCAGGGGACAGAACUGGUUGGGGUAUUCAUUCAGACACACACGUCUUUCAAACCAGUGGACAGAACUUGUUGGGGUAUUCAUUCAUACACACACCUCUUUCAAACCAGGGGACAGAACUGGUUGGGGUAUUCAUUCAGACACACACCUCUUUCAAACCAGUGGACAUAACUGGUUGGGGUAUUCAUUCAUACACACACCUCUUUCAAACCAGUGGACAGAACUGGUUGGGGUAUUCAUUCAGACACACACGUCUUUCAAACCAGUGGACAGAACUGGUUGGGGUAUUCAUUCAGACACACACCUCUUUCAAACCAGUGGACAUAACUGGUUGGGGUAUUCAUUCAGACACACACCUCUUUCAAACCAGUGGACAGAACUGGUUGGGGUAUUCAUUCAGACACACACCUCUUUCAAACCAGUGGACAGAACUGGUUGGGGUAUUCAUUCAUACACACACCUCUUUCAAACCAGUGGACAGAACUGGUUGGGGUAUUCAUUCAGACACACGUCUUUCACACCGGGGAUAG